CUCAAACAAAUCCAUUACCAUGUCAAACCACAGAAAUGAAACUGAACAGAACUACCUGAUGGAGUGUUGAACGAGCAGUUGGGAUCGCUGGAGUGUCGCUCAGGGGCUUGUUAAACAACAAGCCACAACAACAACAACAACAACAACAUGUUUGGUAAAAAGAAGAGAGCACCGCAGCCGAGAGGCCAGGGCGCAGCUGCAGCCAAGCAGAUGGGUCUGUUUGUAGACCUGGACCCUGAGGAGAUGAUUAUGGGUAUGGAGGGGAAUCUGGACGACCCGGACUUGGAGGAUGAACUUGCUGCUAUCACUGGAAAUAGAGCUGCUGCUGCUGGAGGAAGAGCCAAGCAGAAGGGGAAAAGCCCCCUGCCCAUGGAAGACAUCGCAAGAAUGGCUGACGAGUGUAUGAGAGAUGAGGAUGAGGAUGAGGAUGACAGUAACCUGGAGGACGAUGAAGAUCUACUGGCAGAGCUACAGGAAGUGGUGGGUGAAGGGGAAGCUGAGGAUGCUGUAUCUGUUUCCCCCACAUCCUCCCCCACUGCUGAAUCUCCUCAAGCUGAAAAACCAAAGUCCCCACUGACGCAGCAGCAGGAAGUAAAGGUCUCCUCAGCAGCUCCCGGCAGCCUCCAACACACCCUGGAGGAGAGAAUUAUCAUGUAUAAGACGGCCUUACAAAACGCUAAAACUGCAGGGGAUACCUCCAAAGCCAGGAGAUACGAUCGUGGCCUGAAGACUCUGGAGACAAUGUUAGCUGCUGUUAAAAAAGGGAGACCUGUGAACGAGGCAGAGAUCCCUACGCCUGUUGCCACUGGAGCUCCGAGUUCUGCCUCUAAUCCUGCUGUUCCCCAUCGACCUCCUCCCCCUGUACCCUCUUCUUCUGAACCCACUCCUUCAGAUCAGCAGGGGGAGGCGGAGGCCACGAUGCCACCGCCACCUGCUGUACCAGAGAUCCUCACCCCCAGCAGUGAGGAGGAGCAGUCGUCCUCCGCCAGUCUGCCGCCUCUGAGCACUGUCCCAUCUCCACAGGAGCAGACAAAGGAACCUGCAGACCGGCCUCAGACCAGUCUGACAGAUGUGAACAAGGCAACCAAGACGUUGCUUUUGGAGAGGCAGAAAGAAUACAAGAUGGCAGCACUGAGAGCCAAGAAGCAGGGAGAUGCUGAGCAAGCUACACUUUACUUCAAGACCAGUAAGAGGUUCGAUGCGGUGAUUGAGGCGUUGGAGAAAGGACAAGCAGUCGACCUGAGUGGUCUUCCUCCAUCUCCAGGACAGGAAGGAGGCUCUGCUCCAGUGAAAGAACCUUCCUCUGGGCAAAACAUAGAAGUCACCCAACUGGUUACAGCAGCUCCAGCCCCAGCAGCUCCCAAAGACGUGCUGGAGGCUCUCGAGCAGAGAAGAGCCAAGUAUGCGGAGGCGUCCAAUCAGGCUAAAGCUGGUGGAGAUGACCGCAAGGCCCGAAUGCAUGACCGUAUCGCCAAGCAAUACCAGAGUGCCAUCCGAGCUCACAAAGCAGGCAAAGCGGUCAACUUUGAGGAGCUACCGGUUCCCCCUGGUUUUCCUCCAAUCCCGGGCCAGAAGGCGUCAGGAGCGGAGCAGGGAUUCGUUGCUGCUCUGGAGGCAGCCAAUAAGCUUGCCUCCACUGAUGCUUCCCAAAUAGCAGAUGAAGAAGAAGAUGAGGAGAAGGAGGAGGAGUCUAAGCCUGCUGUUCCAGAAGAGCCGAAGAAGCCCAUGUUAGAUUUCUCCACUGCAGGGCAAGACCGGAAAAGAACUCCGUCAGUUUCACCUGACAGAACCGCUGCCAGGGAAGGACUCUCACCAACAGCGGGUCAGCAGCUGGAGUUUCUGGAGGGCAGGAAGAAGAUGUACAUGAAGGCAGCUCUGCAGGCAAAGCAGAAGAACGACAUGGAGCAGGCCAAGAUUUUCCUCCGCACCGCCAAGGGCUUCGAGCCCCUGAUCGAGGCAGCACGCAGCGGCAAGGCUGUGGACAUCAGCACAGUGCCGUCGCCCCCUGGUGACGAAGACGACGACUUCAUCCUGGUUCAUCACAGUGACGUGCAGAUCUCAGAGAAAGCAGAGCAGCUUUACACACAACUGGCCAAGAUCCUAAAAGAGCAGUACGAGAAAUGUAUGACUCACUCCAAGCAGUUCACACAUCUGGGGAACGUCACAGAAACCACAAAGUUUGAGAAGAUGGCGGAGAGUUGUAAGAAGAGUCUGGAGGUCCUGAAGCUGGCUCAGUCGAGAAGUCUUCCUCCUCCUAAACAUCACUUUGAGGAGAGGUCGUUUCAAACUGUCAGGAUAUUUCCAGACCUGAGCAGCACUGACAUGGUCGUUAUCAUCGUCAAAGGGAUGAAUCUUCCUGCUCCGAGUGGAAUCCAAACAAAUGAUCUGGAUGCAUACGUCAAGUUCGACUUCCCUUACCCCAGCACGGAGCAGCCGCAGAAACACAAAACGGCUGUCAUCAAGAACACUAACUCCCCGGAAUAUAACCAGAGCUUUACCCUGUCAAUCAACCGUAACCACCGCGGCUUCAGGAGGGUGGUGACGUCUAAAGGCCUCAAACUGGAGCUGCUGCACAAAGGCGGUUUCUUGCGGAGCGACAAGCCGAUCGGGACGGCCCUCGUAAAGCUGGAAAAACUGGAGUCCCAGAGUGAAAUCAGGGAGAUCGUAGAGGUGAUGGACGGCCGUAAGGCCACAGGAGGGCGUGUUGAAGUGAAGAUCCGCCUGCGGGAGCCUCUGAGCGGACAGGACAUGCAGAAGAGCACCGAGCGCUGGCUGGUGAUCGACCGGUCACAGGUUACAUCAAAUAUACCGUGUUUAUAUUUUUGCAGCAUUGCACCUCAAAAGACAAACCUGAGAUAGUGUAAAAAUGUCUGAUGUUGGGUUCUUUUCAUCUCCAAGGUUCUUGUUUAGAUGCUGCUGCAAGAUUAAAGAUGAUUCACAACAUAAAGAUUAAAGGCACUCAAUCAACAACACUCGGAGGAGGAUGGAGUUUGGGAUGUGAUGAGGACGGUCUGUUGUUCAGAGUGGACUUAACUACACGGGUCUUUGACUUGGUAAAACUUUUGCACAUUUGCAAGACACAAGAGCUCCCUUCCACACUGCGGUCCACCAGGAGCAGACAGGGAGCCCUCCGUCUUCAGUCUGACACCAGCUGAUGGACAAAUACUUGUGAUGCACCAGGGCAGACUUGCAACAAGGGGAAACCUCCUUAAAUCAGAGAAAACUAUUCAGGCAAAGAUUACAGUUUUCCAAAAAGUCUCCUCGUGUAUCACUCCAUCUCCUGGAGGACAGCAGGCAGCGUUUCCUCUGCUAAGGGGCUCAAGGGUCGAGCUAAACUGAUCCUGCUGCCCAACGUGACUUCAGUUAAUAUAUCAAAGAUGUGUUCAUAUUCUUCAUAUUAUUACAGCUCUGGUAUCUAGAACUGCACCUAUGCACUAAUACCAAAGUAAUCACUGUUGCUGUAAAAUCCUGCAUAUUUGAAAUCGCCAGUUAGCUGCCAAAUCUGUUACGACACGAGAAGUUUAAUGUAUGACAGGACUAUUUUUUAUUAUUUUUCCCCACACAAUUCAUCAGUUUAGUUUUAAGUGUGAGAAUGCAGGCAGGCGCAGCAACUCUCAUAGAUGUUUUAAAGGAGUAAGCCAAGAAAUGAUGAUACUGUAUACUAUGGUACGAUUAUAUAUUUAUUUGGAAGACCACACUCCCUUUUUGGCACCUUUCACUUUGAUUAGCAAGUCCUCGACCUGUGAUCACUAAACUGCACACUCACUUUUCUGUGGCUUUAGGUGUGUUAGAUUUAUAUUUGUCUUGUUUACACUCAAUAAUACAAAUCUGUGCAAAAUCACAACUGAGCUGAGUUUGGCUGAUCUUCAAUUGCUUAUGUCUAAAAAGCUAAACAUGAUUUUUUUUUUUUCUUAAAGCAGACAUCCAUUAACCAUGAUAAGCUGGUUAAAAGGUCAUUUUAAGUAAUCAUGACUGGAUGACUGAACUUAGUUAGUUUCCUGUAGAUAUUUUAGUUAAAGGAAUAGUUUGACCUUUUGGAAAAGUGUAUUUAUGUUCUUUCCCGCAGAGAGUCCGAUAAGAAGAUUGAUGCCACUCUUGUGUUUGUGUUAAAAAUGAAGCUAGAGCCAGGACACAAUUAGCUUAGCAUAAAUACAAGAAAGAGGGGUCAAACGGCUAGCCUAGCGCCCUCCAAAGUUAAAUAAUACACCUGCCAGCCCCUCUAAAUUUCACAAAUUAACAAGACUCCGAUUAGUGAGGACUUUAGAGGUGCUGCCAGGUGUAUUAGUUUAAAGUUUGGACAGAGCCAAGCUAGCCGUUUCACCCUGCUUCCAGUCUUUAUGCUGAAUUAAGCUUAUCACCUCCUAGUCUCGUAUUGCCAGACCUUCCUCCACAGCACUGCGAAGGAGGGUCUGGCUACUCCACACAGCAUUCCUGGAUGGGAGAAAGACGUGCUCUGGUUUAUUGGCAUUUCUUUAAACCAAUCACAAUCAUCUUGGGCGGCCAUAAGCUCCGUACGGAGCCGCCCGCAAAAUAGCCUCGGGAAGGAACUGGUUUCGGUUAAGGUUGUUUUAGUCGUGCAACAGAAAACUCUGAUUGGACAGAUAGUCUAGCUAGCUGUCCCUGCAGAGAUCUGAGGAGCAGUUAAGCAUAGUCCUCAAAAAUUCCCGGAGUUUAAAAUCCCAAUGCAAAGAAAGCAGAAGGUAACGGACAUCAGCCAAAAAGAGGUGCAUCCAGCAGAAUUUCCAGCGUCACUGGAGCAAUCCCGAAAGUUGAACGUCGUGGAUAUAGACUAAUCACCUCCUGACUCUUGCACAAUACUUAACACACAAGAGAUUGGUGAAAGAUCUUUUCCUCAGACUCUCGACAAGAAAGAAAAUAAAAUAAGUGUAUUUUCCCCAAAUGUGAGACUAUUCCUAUGCGUGUUGCUUUUUUUUUAACAAUGCAUCAGACCCCGGAUGUUCGGAUGAGUACUUAUUUUAACUGUUUUAAGUGGUUACUUACCCGUUGCGAUAUGAACCCAUGCAGAUUGAAUUUGUUUUGUGCUGCUCAAAGAUUUAAAAAUAACAUUUGAAAUAAUUAAUGAUUGAAAGUAGAUUUUUGACCUUUGAAAAUGCAACUCAAAAAAAUAGUUUAAGGAAAAUAAUGAACUUUCUAUCUCAGCUUUAGGGUAAUACGGACAAGAAGUUCUUUCAGUGGUGGACAUUUGAACAUCAACCACAUCUGCUGAUCUAAAGCUAAAUGGACCUUAAUGGUGAGAUUGUUACAUCAUUGUUAGCUUUGUCAGUUAAUGUCUUUUCAUAAACAAAGUCCCAUCUAAGUAGUUUUAUUGGAGCAACUUUCUACUGAAGAUUUAGUCCUAAAUGAACACUGUUGGUUUGAUUAAGAUUGAACAUUGUUUCUGAAAAGACCUGUUUCUGUUAAGAGUAAAUGUUUUUUUGGUAAUUUCAGCAGCAUUCUAAUAAAUGCUAGACAAGAAGCCAUAACAAACCUACUGAGCCAACUACAUAAGUACCAUUUUCCAACAGGUUUACCUCCAAACUGUCUAACGUUAUUUAGUUGCCAAAUGUUACUGUGGUCACAUUUCAUUCCCGUUUCUUUUUAGGAAAACAUGAAUCAAUGCAAGGUUAAAUUCACUAUGAACAUAGGCCUACAUAAUUAAUACCCAUCACUUUAUUUUCUGUUAAAACAUACUUGUUUACAAAGAUUGAGGAUGUUAAUAUUUACAAAAUAGUAAUCACUAAAAACAGAAUUAAGGCUAGAUUUUGUUUUUAAUUGAAUUUGCCUACCCUGCUUAAAAAUGUACCAAAUUAAAAAUCUUGUUUUCAUUUU